AGUGGCGGACGGGUGAGUAACGCGUGGGUAACCUGCCCCAUACAGGGGGAUAACAGCCGGAAACGGCUGCUAAUACCGCAUGCACAUGCGGGGGCGCAUGCCCCUGGAUGGAAAGCUUUCGCGGUAUGGGAUGGGCCCGCGUCUGAUUAGGCAGUUGGCGGGGUAACGGCCCACCAAACCGACGAUCAGUAGCCGGCCUGAGAGGGCAACCGGCCACAUUGGGACUGAGACACGGCCCAAACUCCUACGGGAGGCAGCAG
rnacentral:rRNA from 1 species